rnacentral:rRNA from 1 species
AUUGAACGCUGGCGGCAGGCCUAACACAUGCAAGUCGAACGAGUGGCGGACGGGUGAGUAAUGUCUGGGAAACUGCCUGAUGGAGGGGGAUAACUACUGGAAACGGUAGCUAAUACCGCAUACCAUCGGAUGUGCCCAGAUGGGCUUAGCUAGUAGGUGGGGUAAAGGCUCACCUGUGCGACGAUCCCUAGCUGGUCUGAGAGGAUGACCAGCCACACUGGAACUGAGACACGGGCCGGCCUCCAACGGAGGGCAGCAGUGGGGAAUAUUGCAAAAUGGGCGCAAUCCUGAUGCAGCCAUGCCGCGUGUAUGAAGAAGUCCUUCGGGUUGUAAAGUACUUUCGGCGGGGAGGCGUUACCCGCAGAAGAAGCACCGGCUAACUCCGUGCCAGCAGCCGCGGUAAUAC